GGGUAAGAGAGGGCCCGGCAGGCCGGGUGCUUUGGGAACUGCUUCGGCUGAAGAUGUUGUUUCCUCUUUUAAAUCAAGCCAGAGUCUCAGCGUCCCCCAUUCUUUCUUCAUCCCCCACCCCCUUACCCAGCCGAGGGAGACCCAAUUCCUUUUUGAGGACCUACUUAGUGCCGUCCCUACAGCCCACCUGAUCUCCCUUGACUAACUGGACCGGGCAGGCUUGGAGCCAGCAGGACCCCGCAUUUGAGAUGGGUCCUGCAUUUGAGAUGAGCUCGGAACUGCUGAUUUCUCCUUCCCAGCUAUGAGACUGAAAUGUCAGGUAACAAACAUGGACCUCAGCUGUUUUCCAGAGGGCAGGAUAGGAGAACCUGGACCUCGGGAUCAGUAAUCCAGUCAUCUCUCAAGAUCAUGUUCCACUGCUCUACAUGAGGAUUACUGCAGAACUUGGGGUUUCAGGUGGUGAACUUCUCCUGGAUUCGCCCGGAGAAUUGCCUGUCGGAUUUUGUACAGUAUACCUCUCCUGCCACGCUCCGGCCGGAAAUGUUCUGUCUCGAGGAAAGAGGGGACAAUGAUGGAGACUCUUGCCAUCUUGCAGCUCAGGAAAGAAGAGAGGGAAGGACCUGAACCAGCCAAUAAUUACACUAAAUGAGGUAAAAAAAUUCAAUUACCUGGACUUGAAAGGUGCCACCACCCUGAGGCUCCUUGCACUAGAUAACCUGCAUUGCUCUCUGGUAACACUGCUUUCCCUGAGGGAGCCCAAGAGGCCAAGAAGAAGCUGCUCAACACUUCACCUUGGACUCGAGGACCUUCUCAAUCCCUCAAAAAUGGACCUUCACUCCUUUGAGACUACAGAUUGCCAGGGGAACUGAGAGGAGAGGUCAGGUGUCUAAAGAAUUGACUAGGUCAAGACCGACCAUCCACCGGCUGUUCCACUGGAUGCAAACUUCUUGGAGUAACCACGGCCACGGGGACCUUCACAGUGCAGCAUGGAUCUCCUUCGCCUCUGAUGUCUCCCUCGUCUCUGGAGUCUCCCACACCUCAAUAUACCUAAAAUAGAACUCUUUAUCUUUCCACCCAAACCCUAUAUAUAUCUGCUAUUUAUUUUUUAUUAAUUUAUUAUAAUAUCUGUCU